AUGUGCAAUCGGUGUUGGUGUGUGGGGAGGUGUUGGAGGUGCUGCAGCUGUGAUUCUUGUGAUUCUGUUUAUCAUACUGGUGAUAGUAGUACUACGACGACUACGAAAGCGUUCGGACGCCAUGAGUGUGAGAUUUGAAAACAACCUUGACGGACAGGUGUCGAUACAUUCAACAAACUCAUCUGUUUCCACAGUGCCUCCAAGUUCAGACUAUGAAUCGAUCGAUGACUGCAAGAAAGCUGUGGACAACAGCUACCGUUCAAGAGUUUCAUCAACUAACAAUAGCUACUGUAAGCCAAGGUCACUGAUGAGGAACGG